AAAAAUCUAUUUCCUCUUCUUUUCUUUUCGUGUGCAGCAGCAACAACAGAGAACACCUGUUUUCAUUCUUUCUUAUCUGUUCAGAGGUUGUAGGGGCUGAACCAACAUUUGGUAUUAGAGACCUAGGUUCGUGGGAUCUUCAUAAGAGGUUCUAACUUCUAUGUGAACCGUAUUAGUUCAGUGACAGUCGACCAAAGCUCUGUUUGAAGAGCAAUCUGUGUGAGUGUUGGGUUUCUAUUGGGUUUUUAGCCCAUGAGGAAAGCCCAAUUUUUUUUUUAGCCCAUGUAUAUAUAUGUGGGACAUGCCCUAAUUUCUCUAACACAAAACAAAAAGGUUUUCAGCCACCAAGAGAGCAAAAGAGAGUAAGAAGUACAAUAGGGUUUUUCUUAAUUCCCGUUUUUGAAGAUACACCUGCAGUGUUUGGUAAUUUCCCGGAGAUCCAACGGUCCGUUUCCUUUGAUUUUUGGACAGAAGCUUCCUAACACCUAGGCCUUCAGAUCCAACGGUUGAAUUUCCGAGAUCAGCUCCAGAGACUCGGGAAUCGUCGCCUCUGUUUGCUGCUGGAAAUCAAGAACGUUUUUGGUGAUAUUCUUCUUUGUCUUUGCUUAUUUGAUUCCAUAUGCUUGAUGUGAUUUAGUUCCAAGUAUAUGAUGAUUAUUGUAUACCUCUAGUACAUCUAGAGAAGAUUAUUUGUAUUGCUCAAAUAUUGGUGAUAGUGGAUUUGAAGCGGCUCUAGUAGUCCCGUGGUUUUACUCUCCUUUCUUGAGAGGUUUCCACGCUAAAAUUCCAGUGUCGUUAUUGGUUGAUUACUUAUAGUUUUGGAUUGAUUAUAUUGAUCAUAUAACUUGCAUUGGGGUUGUCUUGUUGCAAGUAAAAAUAUCCUAUUUGUUGGAAGCUUAGCACCACAAGUGUAAUGUCUCUAAUGGAAUCACACCCAAACUAGCAAGAAGGAAAGUAGAAGGAGCGAGAGGGAGUAUGCAAUUUUCGGCCCUAAGGGUUUCUUCCAAAGAAAGAGUGACCAAAAUGUGAACCAGGUGGCUCCUUAUAUAGUUGAGGGAUCUAGGGUUUAGGAAAAACCCUAAUGCUCCUUGCUUAGGGCCUAAGCAAAGCCAAAGGCCUUAUCCAAUCCCCCUUGGACGAAAUCCUUAGGGUUUCCCCUAUAGAUUUCGUCCACCUCCUUCCAAGGAGGUUCUGGAGCCUUCCACUCAACUAUUAGAUAAUUGCAAACUAGUCCCUGCACUUUAUAAUUAAUGCUUUUAACCCCGAAAUUAAUUCUAAUUAAUUUCUGGCUAACAAUUAAUUAAACAAAAUGAUUUCUUAUUAAUAUAUUAAUCUUUUAACAUAUUAAUAAAUUCAUUUAUAUUAAUUUAUUAAUCUUAUAAUAAAUUAAUAUCUCUCCUUUCAUAAUUUCCUUGUCCGGUUGCUAGGUUUGAGGGCAACCCAAAAGGACUNNNNNNNNNNNNNNNNNNNNNNNNNNNNNNNNNNNNNNNNNNNNNNNNNNNNNNNNNNNNNNNNNNNNNNNNNNNNNNNNNNNNNNNNNNNNNNNNNNAAUUUGAGAAUGCACUAUAUAUCCUUGACUAAAUUUAUUAACAUUUCUCGAUCUAAGCUUUAGAAUUUUGAAAUGAAGUAUAAUAUUCUCUCCCUUAAUUAUAGCAAAACAACUUUUCAAACAUUACAACUUUGCAAAGUGAAUCUUUGUUUUCUAUAAUUAAUAUUGCUAACUCGCAAUACUUUACCAUAAUAAUCAUGCUCCCACUAACAUGAUGAUUAUUUUCUUACCAGCAUAACACUUAUGCUCCCACUAGCUUUGACAUGUAUUCAGAAAACAAUUAAACUUCCAGAGAACAAUGCUUAUUGAAUUCCUUAAGUUCAUAUUUCUAAUACCUAAUGCUUUGAUAAGCCUUUAUCAAAGCUUCUUAAAAUCAUACACCUUUGCCUUAGAAAGCUCAUAUGUGUGUCUAGACAAAUUCAGAACUUAUGUCACUAAGUCCCAAAUGUUCAGACUAAUUGUCAAAUCUCAUAAUUCGAACUAUGGAAAGGGAUGCCGUAACCAUAAUCGAAUUUGAGAAUACAAUUUCCACAAUUGCUAUCUUCUUAAAAUCUCUCUUAGUGAAAGCAUUUCCUCACAGUCAUUUUCAUGAAGGAGGUAAUCUUAUGACACUUAGAUUUUGUGGUGUAUAAGUUCCUAUCCAUGUGAAUUUGUCAAAACCAAAGUUUGUGACAAAUCCAAACUCAUAUGGACUGAACUUUCUCAAUCUCGAUUUCUUGCCUCAUGGUAACACGAGUGCCCACCAUGUCUUCCAAGUGGUUUAUCAACUCAUCCUUACUUAUCAAUGUACUUUCCAUUGAUCAAGGUGCUAUGUCUUUAUGCAUUCACAUGAGAACUCAUAGAACUCACUUGCAUAAUUAAUUCAAUUGGAAUGGCAUAGAAAAGGAGUAUGUCAUCCACGAUAGGCUAUAAACCUCAAGUCGUGUGCUAGUGAUGAUCGAUAAGGUUUAUUCUUGAUUAGUUCUUGAAACCUUUUUCAAGAUCAUUAAAACUCCCACUGACCUCUUGACAUAUACGAUUCUCUUGUCAGGAAACUUUCCUCGACAAAACAAAUAUUCAAGAGUUAGUGUGGUUCUUAUCAAGACAAAACACUUCACAAAAUUUGUCCUAGUUGGUCUUUGUCUUAUCCAAGACAUCACAACUUACAAAUUUUAAAUGUGCAAGAAUAAGAAAACUUUUCCAAAUUCCACAUUUGAUGAGUGUUAUAAACCUUCUUGAGACUUGUCACUCAAUUCACAAUCUUGGAGUAUAACUCUAAGACUUGAUGUUGGAACGAAGUAUGAUUGACUUCUUGAUUUUAACCAUUUCCACAAUUCUCGAUUCCUCUUCUUAGACAUGCAAAUGUACUAAGACUUACUUAGAGGAUCAAUUGAGAUAUGGUUCCUAAUCAUUAAGACUUAUCAUAAAACACAAUAAAAGUUACUCUCCCUUCUUCUUAGAAUAGAGAUACUUUUAUCUUUCUGCCUACUUGAUUCUUCUUAUUCGUUCUGCCAUUGAUUGAAAUUCUUUCAAUCAACUCAGAAUUAUAUUUAAUCUUAUAAGCAUAACCAUAUUCACUAAACUUUAGUAAAUCAUGACGAAUAUCUUUAUCACUCUCGUGGUGAACUUGAUCAAUGUACAACCUAGUGUACUUGAUCUCCUAGUCCUUCUCUUGACACUUUGUCAAAGAAUUAGUCUAAUUUCCAAAUAUGAAGUUUCUCAUUCAUCACACAAUCAAGUUGCAUGACUCCAAGUUUCUGUCCAAUUGAAGCUUGGGCGAUGAGAAUCUUUCCUCAUUUGGCAAAUUCUCGACAUUUCCACAAAUGACAUAAUUAAGAAUCAAAUCCAUUUUUGAUAACAAUACAUCAAUUUUUUCAUAACGACUUCAUUGCAAGGAUAUAUAAAAUUAUUCAAACCAAAAAUUUUAUUUUAUUCAUAAAAGCAGCGGAAAACUUGUCCUUACAAUGCAAAAUCAACUGAAAAACUAUGUAUUUAUUCCUAACAAAUCUAUCAUAACUUUCUAAGCUCAAAAUCUGAUCUUCGAAUCCAUGCGACGGUGAUCCAUUUCUUCGUGAUCAGACUCAUCUUGCUUUUCCAUCAAGCUUCCUCUCUUUUCUCUGAUCCUGCAAAACAUUCAAAUGUAAUCUUAUCACAUUAUGUAUUAAGAAUCAAUGAAUAGGAACUUGAUGGAGUUAGAUAGUGGAUUUUAUACCCAAGGAGGAGUCAUAACACUAGACUCUCCCAUCUCUUAGAUCUCUCAGGUAGAUAGGGCAGCUUCGUCUCCAAUGCCCCUUCUCUUGGCAAUAAAAGCAAAUGGACUCUUUUGGAAUGACACAAGGAACAAUCUCAGAGUUUACCUUUUCUGGAUCUCCAAUGUCAUCAUUUUCAAUGUCCCUUGAAGUUUGGGAGUUUGAUUCACCAGACAAAUUUGCUUGAUCAGCACGCCAAAUCAUUGCUGAUUCAACAGCUAUAAGCAAAUAGGUGAGAUCAAUGAGGGUCACGUCGUGAUCCAUCAUAUAGUACUCUCUAACGAACUCACUAUAUGAUUCAGGAAGUGACUGAAGAACCCAGUCAACAGCCAACUCACUUGAAAUCUCGACACCAAACAUGCUUAACCUAUCAAUGUGUGACUUCAUCUCUAAGACGUGUGCACACACAGGUUUCCCAUCUUCGUGUUUACUUGCCAAAAGGGCUUGAGUGAGCUUGAACUUUUCAAGCCUUCGAACUUGUAGGUUUGGGAGAACAACGGGAGGAGGUGGAGGAAGUGGAAUCAAGUUAGUCCACAUGGUAGGGAUUGAUCUUUCACCUUCAUAGUGGAACAGACUUUGAGCAGGAAUACUUUUUCCUUUAGAUUCGGGAAGACCAUGGUUAGAUUCAGACAUCUACAAAACGGGAGAAAAUUCAAGUUAGUUAAUAAGAAUCCUUGAUGUAACACCCAAAUGAAACAUCGAGGCUAGGAUCCAACACAACAUUCCACAAAUUGGAAGAGGGAUGCCGUAAUCCAAUUUGCAGAAUAUUUGAAGGUAGGUAAAUGACGAUUUACCAAUUUCCACCAUGAAAAACNNNNNNNNNNNNNNNNNNNNNNNNNNNNNNNNNNNNNNNNNNNNNNNNNNNNNNNNNNNNNNNNNNNNNNNNNNNNNNNNNNNNNNNNNNNNNNNNNNNNNNNNNNNNNNNNNNNNNNNNNNNNNNNNNNNNNNNNNNNNNNNNNNNNNNNNNNNNNNNNNNNNNNNNNNNNNNNNNNNNNNNNNNNNNNNNNNNNNNNNNNNNNNNNNNNNNNNNNNNNNNNNNNNNNNNNNNNNNNNNNNNNNNNNNNNNNNNNNNNNNNNNNNNNNNNNNNNNNNNNNNNNNNNNNNNNNNNNNNNNUGGUUCUUGUUAUUAGGUUACUUGUUUGAACAAUGGAAGCUAAUACAAAUAGGAUUGUAAAUUUGAAUGGUUCUAAUUAUCAUGUUUGGAGAGGCAAGAUGGAAGACCUUCUUUAUGUGAAGGAUUAUUACAUGCCUGUGUUUAAUACUGAAAAACCCGAUGAUAAAACAGAUGCAGAGUGGAAUAUUUUGCAUAGAAAAGUUUGUGGGUAUAUUCGACAAUGGGUUGAUGAUAAUGUUUUGAACCAUAUUAGCACGAAAACUCAUGCUCGUACUUUGUGGAACAAGCUUGAGCAGUUGUAUGCUCGGAAGACCGGGAACAAUAAAUUGUUCCUGAUUAAACAGUUGAUUGGCUUGAAGUACCAUGAUGGAAAUCCUAUUAGUGAUCAUUUGAAUUCUUUCCAGGGAAUUAUUAAUCAGCUUGCAGGAAUGGGUAUCAAGUUUGAAGAUGAGUUACAAGGUUUAUGGCUCCUUGGCACUUUACCAGAUUCUUGGGAAAUUUUUAGGACAUCCUUGUCCAACUCUGCACUAGAUGGUAUUAUCACCAUGGAAUUGGCUAAAGGCGGUGUUUUAAAUGAAGAGAUGAGAAGAAAGUCACAAGGUUCCUCUUCACAUUCAGAUGUCUUGGUCACAGAAAGCAGGGGGAGAAGUCAAAGUAGAGGUCCGAAUAACAAAAGGAAGCAUCGCAGUAAAUCUAAAGGAAAGUUUGCUGACUAUGAGUGCAAUCAUUGUGGUAGAAAAGGGCACACAAUACGAUUCUGCAGACAAUUGAAAAGGGAGAACAAGAAGGCAAAUUACAACAAUCAAAAGAACAACCACAAGAAAGAUGAUGGUGGUAAUGAUACUGCUGAAGUUAACACUGCUACCGAAGAGUUCUUUAUUUGUUGUGAUUAUGAUAUGGUCAAUCUUGCACAUGAUGAUUCGAGUUGGGUUGUUGACAGUGGUGCUACUUGUCAUGUGACAUCACAAAGGGAUUUUUACACAUCUUACACUCCUGGUGAUUUUGGGAAUGUUAAGAUGGGUAAUAAUGGGUUAUCAAAGAUUGUUGGAGUCGGAGAUAUUUGUUUGAAGUUUGAGACUGGGAUGGAGUUGGUUUUACACAAUGUAAAACAUGUUCCAGAUAUUAGACUUAGUUUGAUCUCUGCUGGCUUACUUGAUGAUGAUGGUUACCAUAGUACCUUUGGUGGUGGCAUUUGGAAACUCACUCGUGGUUCUUUGAUUGUGGCAAGAGGUGAAAGAAGCUCAAAGUUAUACAUGACACAUCCGAAGAUCUCCAAAGAAUCGAUCCAUGCAUCGAUACAUUGUGACAUGACCGAUCUGUGGCAUAAGAGACUUGGUCACAUGAGUGAAAAGGGGAUGUCUUUGUUGUUGAAGAAAAAUGUGUUGACCGGUGUGCAUGAUGUGAAUUUGAAGAGAUGUUCUCAUUGUCUGGCAGGUAAGCAAAAUAGAGUUUCCUUUAAGAGUCAUCCUCCUUCCAGGAAGGAGAAUAUACUUGAUCUGGUACAUUCCGAUGUAUGUGGUCCCAUGAAGACUAGGACACUUGGGGGUUGCUUGUAUUUUGUCACAUUCAUCGAUGACUAUUCAAGGAAGGUAUGGGUUUAUACUUUGAAGACUAAAGAUCAAGUAUUAGAUGUGUUUAAGCAGUUUCAUGCCUUGGUUGAGAGACAAACUGGGAAGAAAUUGAAGUGUGUUCGGACAGAUAAUGGCGGUGCAUACAUUGGUCCUUUUGAUGCUUAUUGUAGAGAGCAAGGUAUUCGGCACCAAAAGACUCCUCCAAAGACACCCCAGUUGAACGGUUUAGCAGAACGGAUGAAUAGAACUUUGGGUGAAAGAGUUAGAUGUUUGCUUUCACAUGCAGGAUUACCUGAUUCUUUUUGGGGAGAAGCUUUGAAUACAGCGGUACAUGUUAUUAAUCUUACUCCCUGUGUUCCUUUGUCUUUUGAUGUUCCUGACAGGGUUUGGAGUGGAAAAGAUGUUUCGUAUCGUCAUUUACGGGUCUUUGGAUGCAAGGCUUUUGUGCAUAUUCCCAAAGAUGAAAGAUCAAAGCUUGAAGUGAAGACCAAGCCGUGUAUAUUCCUUGGUUAUGGCCAAGAUGAAUUCGGUUACAGGUUAUAUGAUCCAGUUCUGAAGAAACUCGUAAGGAGUCGUGAUGUUGUAUUUGUUGAAGAUCAGAGUUUAAAAGAUAUUGAGAAGACAAAGAUAGUUCCUCAAUAUACUGAUGAUCGUGUUGAUUUGGAUCAUGUUCCCCCUCAACAUUUUGAGCCAAUUAAUGAAGAUGUUCAGAAUGAUGAACAACAUGGUACUGAUGACAAUGAUGUUCCAGAGCAGUCGGGGUUGGAUGAGGAUUUUCAUCCAGAGUUACCAGUACCUGAUAUACCACCAUUUGUCCCACUUAGGCGGUCUACGAGAGAUCGUCAUCCUUCCACCCGUUAUUCUGCUGAUGAGUAUAUUUUAGUCACUGAUGGGGGAGAACCUGAUUGUUAUGCAGAAGCUAUGGAAGAUGAGCAUAAAAGAGAGUGGGUUGAAGCUAUGCAAGAUGAGAUGAAUUCCUUGCAUGAAAACAAUACCUUUGAGUUGGUGAAGUUGCCUAAAGGCAAGAGAGCUUUGAAGAACAAGUGGGUAUACAAAGUGAAGACUGAAGAAAAUACCUCACGACCUAGGUACAAGGCCAGAUUGGUGGUCAAAGGGUUCAGUUAAAGAAAGGGUAUUGAUUUUGAUGAGAUUUUCUCUCCGGUCGUGAAGAUGGGUUCCAUUCGGGUGAUUCUUGGUUUGGCUGCUAGCCUUGAUCUUGAGGUUGAGCAAAUGGAUGUCAAGACAGCUUUCCUUCACGGUGACUUGGACAAGGAAAUUUAUAUGGAGCAACCUGAAGGUUUUCAGGUUAAGGGAAAAGAAGACUAUGUGUGUAGGCUUCAUAAAAGUCUUUAUGGGUUGAAGCAAGCACCAAGACAGUGGUACAAGAAAUUUGAGUCAGUCAUGGGUGAGCAAGGCUACCGCAAGACUACUUCAGAUCACUGUGUUUUCUUCAAGAGGUUUGGUGAUGAUGAUUUCAUCAUUUUGUUGCUUUAUGUUGAUGAUAUGUUGAUUGUUGGCAAGAAUGCGGAGAGAAUUGUUCAGCUAAAGAAACAAUUGAGCAAGUCUUUUGCUAUGAAAGACUUGGGGCUGACAAAACAGAUUCUUGGCAUUCGGAUUAUUAGAGAUAGAGCUUCAAAGAAGUUGCAUAUGUCACAAGAGCAAUACAUUGAGAAGGUGCUUUGCAGAUUCAACAUGGAUAAACCUAAAGUGGUUAGUUCGCCCCUAACUACCAACUUUAAGCUGAGUGAUAAAGAUUGUCCUUCUACUAAGAAGGAGAUUGAAGAGAUGGAUAGAGUUCCGUAUGCAUCAGCCUUUGGGAGUUUGAUGUAUGCCAUGGUGUGUACAAGGCCAGAUAUUGCCCAUGCAGUUGGUGUUGUUAGUCGGUUUCUGUCAAAUCCGGGAAAGAAGCAUUGGGAAGUAGUUAAGUGGAUUUUAGAUAUCUACNCUUCCAAAUUGGGUAUAACAUUUGGAAAUGGAGCACCUAUGCUUGUUGGUUAUACAGAUUCUGAUAUGGCAGGAAACAAGGACAACAUGAAAUCCACUUCUGGAUAUUUGAUGACUUUUGCAGGGGGAGCUGUGUCAUGGCAGUCACGACUGCAAAAGUGUGUUGCCUCUUCCACCACUGAGGCUGAGUAUAUGGCAGCAACAGAAGCAUGCAAUGAGUUAUUGUGGCUGAAAAGAUUUAUGCAAGAGCUUGGAUUUAUGCAAAAACGCUACAUGGUUCUUUGUGAUAAUCAAAGUGCCAUUCACCUUGAUAAGAAUUCUAUGUUUCACAAAAGAACAAAGCAUAUCGAUGUGAGGUAUCAUUGGAUUAGAGACGCACUUGAAGACAAAUUGUUUGAACUUGAAAAAGUUCAUACUGAUGAUAAUGGUUCCGAUAUGUUGACUAAAACUUUAGCAAGGGAGAAGUUAAAGAUAUGUUGCUCGAUCGCCGGGAUGGCGAACUCUUCCUCAUAGGCCAAAAAGGGGGAGAUUUGUUGGGUUUCUAUUGGGUUUUUAGCCCAUGAGGAAAGCCCACUUUUUUUUUAGCCCAUGUAUAUAUAUGUGGGACAUGCCCUAAUUUCUCUAACACAAAACAAAAAGGUUUUCAGCCACCAAGAGAGCAAAAGAGAGUAAGAAGC
rnacentral:lncRNA from 1 species